GCGCUCCGACGUCCGCUGGGCUGCGCUGCGGCACGCUCGCCCGCCCUUUGCCCCAGCCCCGCCCCCGGGCCGGCACCCCCUCCCGCCUCCGCCCGCGGUCCCGGCGGCCCCUUGCCCACCUCGCGAGUGCGAGUCUUUCCUGGGCGGCGAGACUGCGCAGCCUCAUGCGCGCGUCCGCAGGCGGCUCGACCCCGCCGCCGCCGGUGAGGGCUGACCCCGGGUGCCUGACCUCCAGACACCGGUACCGGCCGGGUACCCGACCUCCAGACGACAGCAGGCGGUCACUAGCUUGCGGACCGAGAGGGAGCCGGCCCACUUCCCACGGAAGCAGGAGGAGCGGCGCCUAGGGGUUGGAGAAGCAGCCUGCGCCUCAGGAGUGUGGCCCAGGCUGUAUCUGUUGACCCAAGUCAGGAGCGGCCUCGGCACCUGCGGAUUUUCAGCUGCCCGUCCUCACCGCACCCGCGCCGGGCCCUGUCCUCUUGCCGCACACCUGCCGAGCCGUCUACUCACCACACUGAGCUGACCGUCCCCUGUGAUCAGGAUUGCAGAGGGAAGAUGGCAGACAGCAGAGGCCCCCACCUGACACCCUGAGCAACAGACGCUGAAGGCUGAGUGGUAGCUACUGGAGGCCCGCUGUGUAACCCUUUCCCCAAACUGGAAGCCUUCCUGGUCGGCUGGUGGAGUCCUCCAAGUCGACCCCCAGCAGAAGGAACCGGAGGUUGAUGUGGAACAGAGCAGGCCCCUUUCCCUGGUGGCAGUGCUUGGAGCCUCCAGUCGUGCACCUCUCAGCCACAUCCCUGUGGACAGUGCAUGCCGCCGACCGCUUGUCACUGGGCUGUCUGUCCGCGAUUGAGUCGUGUACUCCCGCACGCCUGUGUGCCAGGCCCCACAUCAGUUGAGUCACAAGUAUUUUCAUAUGCUUUGAGGGCUGUCGCUUCCUGGUCUCCGUGGCGCCCCUGAACACAGCCUUUUAAUUCUGAUCCAGCUCAGUGCGAUCUUUCUCUCUGUUGCUCACGCUUUUGGUGCCUGAGGACAGGAUGUGACUCCCGGGAGCCCCCACCAGCCCUUGGCUGCAGCUCCUUUCCAGGUGCCGGCCCUGACCCGGGAGGCCAGUGCGCCACUAGGGGUCAGUAGUUCAUCUGCGCCUCCCAGGCCCACCUUCUUGCUCCCGUGAGGCUGUGUGAAGGCAGUGUCAUCUCCCUCUCACAGUGUCACCUGUGGCUGGGAAGGUGGUGUGGAAGUGCCAGUGUGAGUGUGAGUGCACACCUGUGGCCAGCAGGCAGGACACCACCCCACCCGACUGCAGGGCUGCCUCCGCUGUCAGACGGUAGCUGCCACCGGGGCAGGCGUGAGUGUCCUCUGAAGCUCCUCAGAGCAGUGUACCCUUCAGGCCUUUCUGUCUUGUAGCAUCAGACAUCAAGGAGGACAUGGAGGCCCUGCUGGCCUUGGAACGAGCAGAGAUCAUAGGCAGACACCGUCAGGUGAUGCCUGGCUGGGGAGGGUAGCCCGCAGGAGCAGGUACCGCCAGGCAGUAAGAGCAGCUGAGGCCUGGGUGGGUCACAGCCAGGCAUGCACACGUGGGCUUCACCACCAGGAUGUUCCGAUGGGGAUGUGGCCAAGUGCGAGCAGGGGAGGCCCACACAGGCCUCAGCCAGCAGGAGAGUGAGCUGUCAGGCUGCCCCGCCCAGGGGGCAGGGCCCUUGCUUCAGGUGGCAUCAGUCAGAAGUCCCUGGGCUUCCUCCUCUCUCCUCCUGCCCGUGCCCCUGGCUCUGGCGCACCCUCACCAUGGUGCCCCUCCAGGCAUCAGGGCACCGGUGGACCCGCGGGACAAUCCUGGCCUCUCUCUGUACAGUCACUGGCCAUCUGGGCUUUCCGUGGUGAGUCACCUGGGCACGUCCUUCUCAUCUGGGAUGGUUUCCAUUUGCGGAAAUACCUCUGGAGCCAGGACCUCACCCCUGAUGCCCACAGUGGGUCAUGGUCUGCACUAAGCUCAAGCUGAGACCCAGCAGGCAGAUCAGGGAAGUGAGCCGGGUGGAGCAGGGCACCACAUGGGGGUACAGGCGACAGUGUCUGCUUCCCAGGCAGAGGGAGGGUCUCGCUGAGUCAGUAGUGGCCCCACAGGCUGUGGCUACAGGGCAAGGGGCGCCUGGCUAAGCUUCUGGGUGGCUGGUUGUCCAGCAGGUCUCAGGAAUCCAGCUGGCCCAGCCCAGUGGCCACAUGGAGCCAGGCCGAAGGGCAGCGAGGGGGCCCUCAGGUCUCACAGGUGACAGGCAGGUGGGGUUUGCAGCUGAAAGUAACCUGGUGUUAGCAUAUCUGGAGGGUAGAUGGGCCAUGGCGGGGACAGAGGAGAUGGGCUGCCUGGGUUCUUGGGCAGUGGGAUCCUCUCAGGGGGGGAUGCCCUGUACAGGCAGGCAGGGGAGGCUUGGGGCAUCUGCGUGGAGGGGAGCCUGGGGUCUCAGGUGGGGCCAGCAUGGCAGCCUGGGGCCCUGCUCACUGCCCAGUAGACAAGCUGUUUGGACCAGUUGGGACAGGUCCUGCUCAGAGGCUCUGACAAGUUGUGAUGGGUCAGAGUGGCUGGUGUGACACAGAGCACAGUGAGGUCAGGGGCCAGAGGGUGGGGUGCGGGGACACAGGCAGGGUGGGCACAAGUGCCCCCUGGCUGCCCUGGGCAGUUCUCAGGCUGGCCCAACCCCAGGACACUGGCAGGUCACCUCAGUUCCAGCACUGACCCUUCUCAGGCCCCCACAGAGGGGCUGUCUCCAGCCCAACUGUGACCAGAGCCCCCUGAGGGCUGUUUCCUCAAAAAUGCAUCCGGGCCUGCAAGGGAACCCCACACAGGUGCUGGGCCAGACGUGGUCAUUCCUGCUGGAUGCUGAGAAGGUGAAGGCAGAGGACAAGGGAAAUACGAGGUGUGCCCUAACCCUGACAGAGGCCCAGAUACUGUAGGCAGGCCUGGUCAGAGGCCUGGGUCCAGAGCACCAAAGCCACCCCUAGAACCCUGAGUGGGGACAGAGUUGGAAAGCAGAGAGAAACCAGGGACAAGGGAAAGAGCAAGGGAACAGCCCAGAACCACAAAGCAAGAGCAGUGGGUCCACGUGUGGGGCAUGGUAAGAACCAGCCUCCGCUGGACAGGAAACCUGGCGCUCAGCCUGGGAGGUGGUGCGUCAGGGGCCUGCAGGGGGCCACUGCGGGCUUUCCCCUUCCUCAGAGAGGACCCCGCCUGGUCCGCCAGGUCACACCGCCCAGGGGUCUUGUGUGCACGUGCUAGUGCCCCCAGGCCAUGAGACCCCCAGAUGGGAGCCAUGCUUUGACAGGCCACCAUAUGCACCUGUACAUCCAUUCAUAGUGGAGCAGCCGCCAGCAUCACACUCCCAUCAUGAGCCCUCAAAGGGCACCUAUAAAACUGCAGCCACUGGCUGUGCGGCUCAGGGGGAUGGAGGAGAGGCGGGGCUGUCCUGACCCAAGGGUGAGCCCAUGGCACAGCUUGGCCAGCUCCUCCUGGGAAGGAGAGGGCUAGCACGCAGACUGUACCCCCACCAUCUCGAAUCCACACACUCAGGCUCCCUGCAUAGCUACCCACCAAUUCCUGGGCUUCUGACAGCCUGGGUCUGCUCUGAACUUACUACCAGGAGCCCAGCCAGGUGCAUCUGGACAUCAGUAAAAUUGGGACAAACAGCCUGACCGCUGGUCCCCCUGCUGAAGGACUCAGGCGGUGUCAGGGAGCAGACUCCCUGAGACGGGCCUGCUCCAGGGACAGGUUCAGGGCCCAGGCAGGCACUGUCAUCCUGGGCAGGGAGGGAGGGGUGGCCGGGUGGCCUGGCCAGGCCCUUUAGCGGGUGGGGUCUGGGCCUUGAGUAUCACAGGCAUGUGGGUACUGGUGGUGUAAGAAUGAGCAGAGCGAGGUUUCGGCAGGAGACACGCAUGUUGCAGCCCGAGUGCAGUACUUCAGAGGUGGCCUCGGGCCGGCGUGCUGUCUGAUGGGCUGCCCCUCGGUUCUGCCCUCAAAGAGCAGGCCGAGUUCUUCUCCGGAAAUAAAGCAGGUCCAUCUGGCCGUAGAGACAGGAACCCAGGGUGUGAGGGCAAGCCUGGUAAGUCACAUCCCCACCAAGCCCUUCCCGCCUGCAGACUUGCGCACAAAAUGAGUCGGGCUUCCCAUAAAGGAAGACGGAAGACUUCCGACGAGGGCCCAGUCCUGUUGGAAAAAGCAGCUUCCUCAACAUGGAAACGAGGGGCACAGCCAUGUCCCCACUGUGACUCCAUCAGGGGCCUCCAGGACACUGAAGAGAAUGAGACAGGAAAUUACAGGGAAGGAGAGAUACUGAUGGAUCACAACCCAUAAAGGACUCGUGCUGAGUAAGAAAACUCGGAACUCAGCAGAAGUGACCCAAGGCACAAGAGCUGAGCAGCCGCAUGACCCAGAGAUAACGUAUUAACAUAUGUGGACACACACGUACAGAGAUGCUCACCGUGUAAACACGGGACCCCAGCACUCACCUAUUUGGUGGAGACCCAGGAGGCCCUGGAGUGCAGUGGGGCAGCAGGGACUCGCUCACCACGGUGGGAACGCAGCUGCUUUGGGACGUAGUUGGUGGCUCUUAAAAGCUAAACGUGGCCCCAAGAGCUCAUAGUCAAAAUCAGCACGCCACAUUCACCACAGCACCCACAAACACUAAGACAGGGGCAGUGAGGGGACGUGGGGGCAGGAAGACCCUGCGACCACAGGAAGGGACAGGUUACUGACUUCCCAGCAGACGAGUUGGGGAUGCAUUUUGCAACGGGUAAAAAGCCAGGCCCAUGAGUGGUUCUGUUCACAGAACAUUCUGGAAAAGGCCAAACUAUGGGGAGGGGAGGAGUCAUGGAGGCGUGCGCCUGGCCACGAGGACACCUUCAGGUCAGGAUGAGGUGCUCUCCAUGUCUGCCAACCCAAAAGCUGGACUUGAAAUAAAACAAAUGUAAACACUCA